AUUUAUUACAAGAUAGAUCAAUAACCAAGCUUCGCCAUGAAAGCUUUAGAGAGAGAAAAAUAAAUGUCUUAACUUGAAACUGAAUAUAAUAUUUGUGUCUAGAAGGAUCUAAUUGAUCCUUUAUAUUCAAGAGUGGGCCAAACAACCCGAAAAAUAUAUAUUGGGCUAUUUCUCUACUACUAUCCCAAAAGAAUGAAAUAAAGUGACCCAAUUAUAUACACAUACAAGAACAACAAUAUAUUUACAGCACACAUGUAACUAAGCUAAGCAACUAAGUAACGCUCCCCCUCCCCCCCCACCCCGCACGCGCGCAAGUUGGAGGGGCCUCGAACACUCAACUUGAACAAGAGAGGAUGAUGAACGAGUUCAGUGGGUGGCUUGGUGAAUAUAUCAGCAAGCUGAGAACCUGAGGGAACAUGUCAUAGGGUAAUCAAUCCAUCAGACAACUUAGUGCGAAUAAAGUAACAGUCCACUUCGAUAUGCUUAGUCUGCUCAUGAAAUACAGGGUUCCGAGAUAUGUGAAUAGCAGCUUGGUUGUCACAAAAUACUGGAACAGGAACUGAAAUAGUGAUGCCUAAAUCAGCAAGCAAACGCAACAACCAUAUCAAUUCGUCCACAACUUUGCUAAUGGACCUAUACUCAGCUUCGGCAGAAGAAAGAGAUACAAAAGGCUGUUUCUUAGCCUUCCAGGUGAGCAAGAACCACCCAAGAGAACACAAUAGCCAAUAACAGAGCGACGAGUGUCGGGGCAUGCUGCCCAUCACUGUCAUAAAUUACAGUAACAGAAAAAUCAGGGGAAUUAGAGAAAAAUAAACCCAAGGUAGAAGUCCCUUUUAAAUAGGUUACAAAUGUAAUGCAGCCUUCAUAUGACAAUCUGAAGGUGUUUGAAAAAACUAACUUAAAUGCUGAACUGCAAAUGAUAAGCCAGGCCUCGUAUGAGUGAGAAAAUUAAGCCUCCCCACAAAACUGUGAUAAGCCUCGAGAUUGGGUAAUGGGGUACCCAUGUAUGCCUUCAAUUUAAUAGACAAAUCAAGAGGACAAGCAAAUGGGGAAACCACAUCAUAAUGAAAGUCAUGUAGUAGAUCAAUAAUGAACUUCUUCUGAUGAAGAAGCAAACCUUUAUUAGAAUAGUGAACCUCAAUUCCCAAGAAAUAACUCAAAAUAACCAGAUCUUUGAUUCAAAAUUGAGAGUCAAGAAAAGAUUUAAGGGCAAAAAUUUCAUCAAGAUCAUCACCAAACAAAAUUAUAUCAUCAAUAUAAACUGUAAUAAGCACAAUAGAAGAGGUAGACUUCAUAAUAAAUAAAGAAUGAUCAUUAAGGGAGUGAGCAUAACCCUGGAAUAAAAUGCUUGUGAAAGUUUAGCAUACCACUGUCGAGAGACUUGUCGAAGCCUAUAAAGAGACUUUUGAAGAUGACAAACCAAAUGGGAAGAGCCAGAUGGACAGUCAACAGUCAGACCAGGUGGGAGUCUCAUAUAUACUUCCUCCUCCAAGUCACCAUGCAAAAAUGCAUUGUUGACAUCGAGUUGGGACAAAGGCUAACCCAUUUUUACAGCCACAACAAUAAGACUUUUGACAGUAAAAAACUUGAUGACAGGUGAGAAGGUUUCAUUAAAAUCAACCCCUUCUACUUGGGUGUCAUAUCUAACAACCAAAUGAGCUUUAAAAUGCUCAAUAGAACCAUUGGCCUUGUAUUUUACCUUAUAAACCCACUUACAACCGAUGGGUUUCUUGCCCGGAGGAAAUGAAAUAAUAGACCAUGUGUUGUUGGCUUGAAGGGCCUUGAAUUUCAUAGUCAUGGCAUCCUGCCAAGCAGGGAUGCAAGCAGUCUGCUUGUAGGAUUGUGGUUCAGGUGCAACAUUGUUAGAAAAGUGACUAGGAUACGUGAAAGAUAGACUAGAGCUACAAAUAGAAUGGGGAAGAUCACAUACAAACUGCUGAAGAUGGGCUGGGGUAAUGUGUGAUCUGGUGGAUCUUCUGGGAGGGGUAGGAGCAGCAGUUGAAGGAGAAAUAGUGGAAAGAUGUGGAGAUGAAGUGGUAAAAUGAGGUUCAGAUGAAGCAUAUGUGACAGAAGAUGAAGAGAGAGUAUGGAAGGAUGUAAGGUCAUGAAAUGGGAAAGAAAAUUCAUGGAAUACUACAUCUCUAGAUAUAAAGGUGAGGUGAUUCUAGAGGUUAUAAAGUUUGUAACCAAUAAAUAGUGAAGUAAUAGUGAGGUGAGUCUUGAGGUUGUAGAGUUUGUAACCAAUAAAUAGUGAAGUAAUAGUGAGGUGAGUCUUGAGGUUGUAGAGUUUGUAACCAAUAAAUAGUGAAGUAAUAGUGAGGUGAGUCUUGAGGUUGUAGAGUUUGUAACCAAUAAAUAUCAAGGGAUAACCAAUAAAUGCACAAGUAACCAAUAAAUAUCAAGGGAUAACCAAUAAAUACACAAGGAUCAGCCCGAGGUUAAAGUUUAUCCCCGUGGCACUUAGGAAUAGUGGAAAAACAUAGACAACUGAAAGACUUUAAAUGAGAAUAAGAAGGCAUGUAACCAUGUAACAAUUCAAAAAGAGUUUUAUUAUUCAGUAUAGAAGAGGGAAACCGAUUAAUGAGAUAGGUGGAAGUCAAGACAUAAUCACCUCAAAAUCUUGAAGGUAAUUUUAAUUAGAAUAAUAAAGUCCUUGAAGUCUCAAGGAGGUAUCUAUGUUUUAUUUUCACGACACCAUUUUGCUGUGGAGUAUGAGGACAUGAAGUUUGAUGAAUGAUACUAUUCUCAGAAAAGAAUUAAGAAACAGAAUUGCUUGAACCAAGUUCCUGCGCAUUAUCACUUCUAACGGUAAAAACAAUGGCAUUAAAUUAGGUACGAACCAUGGCAAUGAAAUAUUUUACCAAAGAAAAAAAUUUCUUUUGGACCCUAAAAGGUGAGACCAGGUGGCCCUAGUGUAGUUAUCGACUAUAGUAAGGAAAUACUUACAGUUAGAAUAUGUAGGGGUGUUAUAAGGACCCCAAGUGUCUAUAUGAAUGAGUUGGAAAGGAUGAGAUAUUUUGAUAGAGCUAUCAGGAAAGGAAAGUCUGGAUUGCCUAGCUAAAGGACAAAUGGUACAAGAAAAAGACUGUUUGGAAGAAAAUUUACAUGGAAUAGAAAUAAUUCUAUUCAUUCUUGCAAAGGGCAUGUAACCCAAACGAUUAUGCCAUAAAACUUCUUCAUUCUGUAAUAGAUUGGAAUCAGUACAAUGGGAAACAAUAAAGGGAAUUAAAAUGUUUGGAGAAUAAUUAUCAGAAAAAAUAGAAGAAAUAAUGACAACAAUAGAAUCAGGAUUAGCAGAAGCAGGAACUGGACUGUGAUGUACUGAAGACUGUAUCAAUUUGUAAAGGUCAUUCUCCAAUCUACCAAGCUCUACUGGCCUCUUCAUUGAAGGGGUAUGGAUAAAACAAGAGAGUUUGGUAAAGAGUACAAAAUAAUUUAAUUGGGUAAUGAGCUUUGAAACAGACACAAGAUUAUACUAGAAACUAGGUAUAAUAAUAAGGACAUGAUGAAGGAUGAAAGAGAGAAAAUGAAUAGAGCCCGUGCAAGUCACCUUCACUUUGUAACCAUUAGGAAAGGUAACCAGGCAAGGUGUUACUAAAGGCUGAAUAUUGAAUAAUAAGUCCUUAUUAGAGGUCAUGUGAUUAGUAGCACUAGAGUCAAUAAUCCAAAUGCAAUUAUCUACCUUUCUAAUCAUACAAGUACCAGAAGAAACCACAGACUCUACAGGAACAGGUAAAAAAUGCAUACCAGCAAAACCAGUAGAAACCAUAAGACUAGAAGGUUGAUCUGAAAUCUUGAAACUCUGUAGUAGACUUAGAAGUUGGCUAUACUGCUCCUUGGAUAACAAAGAAAAUGAUAGAUCAUUAGGAUUUCUAGGGAAUAAGCAACAGAAGAAGUGGUCGGCCCAAAAGACUCUUGAAUCUCAGCAGAAGCAGCCACUCGCUUACCCAUAAAAUUAGGAUUGGAAGGCUUGAAAUUAGCAGGAUACCCAAAUAGUUUAUGACACUUUUCAAUAACAUAUCCACUUAUUUUGUAAUAUUUGUAAAACAAGGAAGAUUUAUCUUGAUCAAAGUUGAUUGUAGGAGCAUAAAAUUUAUUGGGAUAACCGCUUUGAGGUUUGGGUGAAAUAGGAUAAGAUCGAGUUGUCGGUUUUAUUAGAUGGAAAAUAUGGUCCAGGUCUACGAUUAUGAGACAUUUAAAAAGAGGCAGAUUCUGUGGGAAAAUGAGCAGGGGAUAUUACUUGUCUCUCCCUUUCAUCUUGUAGUAGGAUGUUAUAUGUCGAAUCAAGAGAUGGGAAUGGUUGUUCCAUAAGAUUGUUACUUCGCACUCCAAUACAUGCCUCAUUCAGACCCAUGAGAAAUUGGUAAACCUUAUUUUCCUCAUAUUCCUUUUGUAGAUUAGGCUUUGCAGCACAUGUGCAGGUAUUGAUAUGAGAUGUAGAAAUAAACCUAAGCUCAUCCCAUAAUCUCUUAAGUUUGUUAACAUAAGAGGCAAUGUCUAAAGAUCCCGACUAGUAGAAGCUAAUUCUUUCUUAAGUUCGAACACCUUAGUGCCACUGAUCAAACCAUACCGCUUGUUCAAUUGACUCUAAAAUAUCUCAGCUGUGUAAGAGUAUUGUACACUUUCUACUAUAUCAGGAGACAAAGAACUGGUCAACCAUGUUAUGACCAUAUUAUUGCAUCUAUCCCAGACCCUAGCAAGGAAUAGAAAUAAUUCUAUUCAUUCUUGCAAAGGGCAUGUAACCCAAACGAUUAUGCCAUAAAACUUCUUCAUUCUGUAAUAGAUUGGAAUCAGUACAAUGGGAAACAAUAAAGGGAAUUAAAAUGUUUGGAGAAUAAUUAUCAGAAAAAAUAGAAGAAAUAAUGACAACAAUAGAAUCAGGAUUAGCAGAAGCAGGAACUGGACUGUGAUGUACUGAAGACUGUAUCAAUUUGUAAAGGUCAUUCUCCAAUCUACCAAGCUCUACUGGCCUCUUCAUUGAAGGGGUAUGGAUAAAACAAGAGAGUUUGGUAAAGAGUACAAAAUAAUUUAAUUGGGUAAUGAGCUUUGAAACAGACACAAGAUUAUACUAGAAAC
rnacentral:lncRNA from 1 species